rnacentral:tRNA from 1 species
GCCUGGCUGGCUCAGUCAGUAGAGCAUGUGACUCUUGAUCUCAAAGUUGUGAGUUUGAACCCCACAUUGGGUG